CCUACGUGAGGCAGCAGUGAGGAAUAUUGGUCAAUGGCCGGAAGGCUGAACCAGCCAUGCCGCGUGAAGGUCAUUGCCCUAUGGGCGUUAAACUUCUUUUGUGCGGGAGCAAUAAUGGUCACGUGUGGCCAGACGAGAGUACCGUACGAAUACGCAUCGGCUAACUCUGUGCCAGCGGCCGCGGUAAUAGGGGGUAUGCAAGCGUUAUCAGGAUUUAUUGGGUUUAAAGGGUGCUUAUGCUGUUAGGUAAGUCAACGGUGAAAUGCCCCCGCUCAACGGGGUGAAGUGCCAUUGAUACUGCCUUGCGGGAAUGCGGAUGCCGUGGGAGGAAUGUGUGGUGGAGCGGUGAAAUGCAUAGAUAUCACACAGAACACCGAUUGCGAAGGCAUCUCACGAAUCCGCGAUUGACGCUGAUGCACGAAAGCGUGGGUAUCAAACAGGAUUAGAUACCCCGGUAGUC
rnacentral:rRNA from 1 species